AUGGCCCGCACGAAGCAGACGGCGCGCAAGUCCACCGGCGGCAAGGCGCCGAGGAAGCAGCUGGCGACCAAGGCGGCGCGCAAGUCCGCCCCGGCCACCGGCGGCGUGAAGAAGCCCCACCGCUUCCGCCCGGGGACCGUCGCCCUCCGCGAGAUCCGCAAGUACCAGAAGAGCACGGAGCUGCUCAUCCGCAAACUCCCCUUCCAGCGCCUCGUCCGGGAGAUCGCCCAGGACUUCAAGACCGACCUCCGCUUCCAGUCCUCCGCCGUCUCCGCCCUGCAGGAGGCCGCCGAGGCCUACCUCGUCGGCCUCUUCGAGGACACCAACCUCUGCGCCAUCCACGCCAAGCGCGUCACCAUCAUGCCCAAGGACAUCCAGCUCGCGCGCCGCAUCCGUGGGGAGCGCGCCUAG
rnacentral:rRNA from 1 species